AUACAACUUCGGCAUCAAAUAAGCCAGCCAAACAACAUAAAUAAUAACUCAAAGUUACCAUUUUGGACCUAGCUUGUUUGAAUUCCAAGUGUUUGGCCUUUAUAUAGUCCCUUGAGCCUUGUAAAUCAUUGCUGUUGGGAGACUGUACAACAACUCCACCAUGAACAAUUCAACAUAUUUACAAGCACCUAUUCUUGUACGAAAUUCUUAUCAGAAGCUUAUUGCAAUGCUUUAGGUGUUGCCCAAAGGCCCACUAUUUUAGUAGCAUUCCGUUUACUCCUUUCCCAACGUGACCACUUUCUACCAGUUCACAGAGUUAGUGACGAGAAUCUAGUGAUUGCAGCCGAUUUAAGCAAUACUAUGUGUAGGUCGUUGGCAGCCCACCACACCUGUUAGAGCUCACGGAGCCAUUGUUGAGCUAGGACUGCAAAAUACAUGAAAGUUUACCAACUUAAUUGGUUACCCUUGCGAUAUACAUAGCUAAGUUUUGAACUAUAUAGAUAGAGUGCUUAAUCAUAAUUACUGCAAAUCUGAAGCUGCACAAUUCCAAUUAAAUUUGAUGCAUGGGAGAUGACUUACCUUCUUCAUGACCCUGGUAGUUGUCACUGAGCAUUGCGAUAAUUGCAACACUCCAAAUAAAUUCAAUGCCGAAGAGAUGAGUUGCCUUCUUGGCAAUGAACCCUCAAUAGUGAAUUUCUAAGGUCCCUGAAUGAACAUAUGUGGAAGAUAUUCUACAGUUCUAGAUAUAUGGCACAACCUUAGUUACAGAAUGAUUAGUAUACUUACAAUCUAACUGAGAGGCCCCACAUAUGCAAAUUCAGACCUCCGAUAGGAAACACUGAAUCUCAGCAGGAAAGAUCAAAUACAUGCAUCCCUGUUCGAGGUAUUAAUAUGGGUAAUUCUUAAUUGAUGCGCUAGAUGUUAUCUUCUCAUCCAAUUAUAAAAGAACUCGUGAUUAUAAGAAAAUCUUACUAUAUUCCAUCAAAAUAUACAAUCCUGUGAGGCUAAGAUAACAGCAAGAGCAUAAAAUUCUACAAAAAAAACAACUUGUCACGACAUUUUAGAAAUAGUUAAUAUUUUCUCACUGGAAAUGUCUAUUUGUGAGUUGUAUACUUAACAUGGAAUAUACUGAUCUAUUUGUUGAGUUCUUAGUUUCAGAUGUUCGUAUGCGACUUUAUAUUUGCUCUGGGUAAAGAAUGAGCAAAAUAUCUUUUCUUGAAUAUAGCUUCUUAUACCCAUUUUGCUGGUUCAUGAUAACCUAAUGGUGAUCUCUUGUUGUAGCCCUUAUUUCACUUGAUUGAAUAAACAAAAGCAUCACAUACAAAAUCUUAUGCAGGUUCUAACAAGAAUGAAGUGAGAUAGACUACUGAUUCUACAAUGUACAAUAUCUGGUUAAAUGAUAUUUGGCCAAGUAUUUUUUUUCUGCUUCUAUCAUCUGUGAGCUCAUUAUUAAGUGUUAGAAAAUAAGUUACUUUAAGUUGAAUUGAAGUACUCAAAUUAGAGCUAGUGCAGUAUGCCACAAAGAAAAUAUUGUUUGUCGAGCCAAACCACAUUAAAAAAAAGAAAGGAAGCAUUAGAAGAUCGGAGUUAAUAGUUUGUACCUUCUUCAACUUGCAUAAUUGAAUUGAAGUAAUAAGCUUUUGUUUCGUUGCCAUGGCAUGCCCGGUGCAUCUCCAAUCCUCCCUAUUAUUUCCUCCUUUGACAACAACCAUAAGUAACAAACCAUGGCAUUAAGGAUACAUACAUUUAGGACAAUAAAAUCUAAGUAAUUGCAUAUUAAAGAACUAAGAGAUGUGCUUUUGCCGUCCAAGAUACUAACCAGGCCUUGUGAACAAUUUGUGAAUACAUACAAAUACCAGAACCACGACCUCCAUAAAUUAUCCAAAGAAAUAGACCAGAAUGGAUGAACACUUGGAUUGGUAGCAC
rnacentral:lncRNA from 1 species